UUAUCAGUAACCGACUUCGAGUCGACCCGUUUGGACGCUCGUACGUGUCCGUAGUAACUUAAUAAUAAUUUAUAGUUUUAAACAUUGUCAUAAUAAGUCUAUUCGAUACAUUUAUUGUAUUGUAGUCGUCGUCAUUAUAAUAAUAAACUAUUUGUGUUUUAUAAUCAACGGGUAUAGUCACAAUACAGCAGAUAAAUCGUUUGUUUUUUUUUUAUCGAAUAAUAAAAAUAAUAUCACCGUGGGCGUUACGUUCUUUUUUUGUUUUUCGAUAACGCAUAGGUACCUAUACAGUCUUGCGGCCAAUAAGAUCGAGCCACAUGACACUUUUCAAUCGAAUCGCGUUGGCUGACAUCGUCGAUUAUGUUCGAAUAAAAUGAUGACGACAAUAAUAAUUUGACAUCUUCGUCGAUACCGUCGUCGCGUUUCACCCAUCGUAAUAAUACAUAAAAUUAUUUUCUUAACUAGCACGAAAGACACUGUCAAAGUCGUCGGCCGCUCAUGCACUUUACCGCUACAAGACUUACUGCUUUCGUCGUCGCGUCGAGUAUAAUAAUAUGUACCUUUAUGUGCAAUGUGUGUGUUGUACGUGUACGAUAAUAUAAUUGCAGGCGAAACGUGUCUGUACACCAGGCAACCGAGCUAGGCGAAAACGUCACGAACUCGACAUUAUCGUAAGAAAUAAAGUACCCACGGGUUACGGCGUAUUGGAUACAGAAGAGGCGGAAAAAAAAUGGCGUUUCGAGUGUAUAUUAUAUAGGUGCAGUGCGCAUUUUUAAUGGAUUUUUCGACGACGACUACGCGACGUCGCGACGUUCGGAAAGCCGAAUUACCGUGAGGGUUUCAGGGACGUUCCAGAAAAAAAUAUUCAAUUGGAGCUGUUUAGUGAACGGCGGCUAAUGAGUUUCAGAAACAGAAAUGUGACAUGAUAAACUGUAGUUAUUAAAACUACUGCUAUAGAGUCAUGUGAACAGGUGAUAAUAAUAUUAUAACCUAUUGGUGAUAUGCGGAAGUUGUUGGACGACCGCGGUCAAAUUUCAGUUGAUACAUCGAAUACGUCUCAAAAGAAGCCGUACACACGGAAACACCUUUCUCGCAGGGAUGUCCGUCGGUUAUCGAAUAACACAAUCAAACUGCAUGUAUAAUACACUUCAAUACGUUAAUACGUAACACACGAAGCUCGACGUUUUCAACAACGAAAUCACUUUAAUUUCAAAUGGAUAUCCCCAAUGGUCGAUGGAAAAUAAUCUUUGGCUGGAAAAGAAUAAUAUCAAAAUGCAAGUUUAUUUGUGGCAGUGUCAACGAAAUCGUUGAGUGUUCGUGUACCGAUGAUUAAAUUGUAAUACGUGGUUAUGGGAAGCAAUUCGAACGUGUUCAAGAAAAACGUGGGACGCAAUACUAGUAUUAUACCUUUCCAUACCUACUUUAUUUGUUUAUUUGCUUAAAAUCCUGUGAAGACUCAAGUACAAAUAAGAUUACAUUACUUAACGGUUAGUAUAUAUAGUUAAGUAAAAAUAACAUAUAUUAAUAUUAAACUAAUCAAUUAGGUAUUAAAAUUUGCAAUAAAAUAAAAUGAUAAAUGAAAAAAGAAAUAUAAAGGUUCAUAAGUUUAUCGUUUAAGAGAUGCGAUGCGAUCGAUUGGGCUAUUAAAAUAUUAUGAUUUUUAUUCAGUGGCGUCUUAUAGAGGCAGGACAGGAACGAGACAAAAGUAUUGAGGGACCUGGGACAUAUACAACUGUACUAGAUCCAGAAGCUCAGGACAAGGUGUAGUUUCAUUUAUCAGUUUGGUCAUGAAUCAAAUAUCAUUGCGUCGCGCGUCGUCUUUUGUCCAGGCAUUCCAAGUGGAGGCUCUCUUGAAUUAUACAGUUAAAGGUAUAGAUAAGGAUGGACUAUGGAGAAAGGUCACCAGUAAUACGUUGACGCUUGCAGCCAAUAUAUCGUAGACAUUUUCUUUGAACACGUUUAGUCAAACCUAUUUACAUCGUUUACAUCCGAUUCCAUCAUAGUAUACCGAGCUAUAUACGGUGGAACCUCGGUAUCUCGACCGAAAAAAGGAAGAUAUUCCACCUAUCAAAACUUCGAGUUGCCGCGGUAAUUAAAAAUAUACGGACAAAUGAUCGGGUGUAAAAAAAAAAUUCGAUGUACAGAAACCUUCGGUUAUACCGAGGUGUCGCUGUACUAUUUGUAUUUCAAACUAUGAUCAUUCGGCUGUGGACGUUACAUUUUACACACGGUGUAUACAGUGCACGGUAUGCCUAUAUCGUAUGCACAUAGUAUAAUAAUAUGGCCAACAUGGGUAUACCGUAUAUACUCGUUCGCAUCUCAAUAUUCGUUGUAUUUAAAUUAUUCUUCGUCGUUCGGUGUACCUACAUAUACAUGUAUAAUAAUAAUAUAUGCGCUGAGCCGUUCGAAUUUACAAUAUUAUUACAAUAUGACCUCGUGCACGACCAUGGCUCACAUACUAGGUAUACUUACUGGUAUAUGCUCAUAACUUCGUGUUUACGGUAUAUUUUACACAACGAAAUAUUGUUAGGUUGUUAUUGUUGUCGUUAGUAUCAUCAUCGUUGUAAUUGUAUGAAUGAACACCGAAUGAUUUCGUUUUGUUUUCGCUAAAAAUACCGCAAGAAACCUAUAUACGGUUAGCGCGUGAUGGUGUGCGCGGGGACGAUAUAUUAUCAUCUGCCGAAUAUAACAUGGUAAUAAUUUACUUAUUCGUCGACGGACGCCGUUUUAUAAUAUGUUUAUUCUGUCAAUUUUUCAAACAUUCCCGGCGAGAUUCGAUUUAUUUCCAUCAUUUUUUUUUCUUUUCAUUUCCUCGCGUUAACGACUUCCGGACGACGCCGCCAACCACGUUUAUAAUAAACACCGUCGUCGUUAUCGCGGACGCCUGGUAAUUCCGGGAAAGCUUCUAUAUACCAUUUGUGGAAAAAACUCCUCUCCCCCCGGACCAUUUGAUGCGCGCCUCCGCCGGAGAUGAUCUAUAUACGAAGAUUUCCACGCGGCAUGGGACGUGGCGGACUGCGUGGAAGAAAAUAUGAUCCAAACCGCGGGUUAUGUACGACGAUCUACUGGACUAGAACAAAAAAACCACCCCCGAAACGAAAUGCGUACACCACCGGCACCCCUCGCCCGUUUAUCGUUCGUCGCGACGUCGACGGCACGGUAUAUAGACUUAAGCGUUAUUAAUCCGUCGGGAGGACGUCUCGAAGAUUUUUGCGCGACGACGAAAAUAUCAUAACUCGAGCUCGUUUCGCUGGGCGGUGAGACGGGCCAUAAAAAAAAAUAUAUCAUCGGCGGCGGUUCUGCAGAGACCUGCAGCAGCAGCACACCCGACGAUUUAUGUCUCUGCACAUUCGCACCCCAAGACAUUACGGCCAUAAUGUAGAUUUGUAGUCUCUAUAUUAUUAUAUUAUAUUCGCGCGCCAGCACACACACACACACACACACACACACACGCGCGCGCGCGCAUGUGUAUAUGUGUACGUGUACGUGUGUGUGUGUGUGUGUGUACAAUACAUAUUUUCGGUCGCCCUUUUCGGCGACGGUCCUCGGUCUCGCAAACGACAUUCCCCUAUAUCCAUGACCUCACCCCCGCCGAAAAAUUGAUAUAACCUUCCGUUAAUAUCUAAUGCACUAUAUUAUAAUAUAUUAUGUACAUCGCACGCGACUGGCGACGACGACUACGACAAUUGCGGAAUUAUGAUUCAGCUAGCGCUGCAGACCAUUGCGAUUUUGAUAUUGACAUAUUGUAUGUAAAAUAUUGUUGUUGCGUGAGGUGAGCGACAACGACCGUGUGAGUCUUCUCGGACGUAUUGGAUUGUAGAAGAUUGGCUUUGCGGAAAAAAAUAGUUUUUGUUUUUGCUUGCCGACCAACACUUGAUUAAAUAUUAAAAUAUCGUCGGACGUAUUUUUCUUCACAUGUGCGUGUAGAUACAUGUUUUGUUUUGGCCGUAAUAGUACAAAAUCAUCUAGUGUUUAUGCAAAGAAUGCAGAUCACCCAGAAUAAAUUGUCUACUUUGUAUUUCGUUACAAGAAAAUGAUGUUACGACGACCAGAGCAAAACAUUUAUUUUUUAAACAUAAAAAUAUACAUAUUAUGUCAUAUAGACCUGACGUCGAUGAAUCGAUUCCUAAUCAAAUAUUAUGGGUAUUGGGUAGGUACCCACCCUUUGGCCUUUUUGGUUCGAUUUCAUUUCCUGCAGGACGAAUAUCGAGUGUUCACCCUGUAAGUGUAUCGAUUACUGUAUAAGUAUUACGAUAUUGAUCCCGGUCGGGGUACAUGUACAUAAUACACGAAAUUUAUCGAAAACGAAAAGCGCGCGAUUAUCGUUUACCAGCAGCGAUUCUCAUACUGUUGUACGACCGAUCACAGGAUUUCAAUGUAACUGCACAUGAUAAUAUACAGUGCAGUAGCCACGUGAUUAUUAAAUGGGGGGGGGGGGAGUUAAGUAUAAAUGACACCAAGUUUUUUAUAGUUUUCGUAUCUAAAUAACACCACAUUUACCAGGGGGGAAAUAUCAGUUGGGGGGUUUAAACACCCGCAGGCUCUUUCACUGAUAUUAUAAUAUUAUACGAGUGCGUAUCGUUUGCGAUUUUCUUCACCGCUGCGCCGCACGUCAAAUAUUAAUAAAGAAAUUACAUUUUUAUUGUUACGCGAACGUGGAAAGUGAAAAAAAUGCCGAGCUGGAGGUAACAACAAUAAUAAAUAUAAGACACAAUAUAGUCGACACUAAAUUAUAAAUUAUAAAUUUAUAACAAUAGGUCUCUCGCGGGUAUGCCGAAUAUCGCGCUCUCGCACCUGCAUCGCUCGGUUCACAUAAUAAUAUAAUAAAAUAUUAUACUUGGGUCUCGACACUUUCGAGAGCACCCUGUAUAAUAGGUAUGAAAUAUCGUACACAAUACCUUUCCACAUAUGUAUAGGUAUAUAUACACGCGGAUAAUGCGCGCGUAAUAAUAACAAUAAUAAUAAUAAUAAUAAUAAAACACCGUAACACUACAACAACACUCUGCACGCAGUAUAAUGUUAUGUGUACUGCAGCUACGAGGGCAUGCGCACAUAAUAUUAAAAUAAUAAUAAUAAUAAUAAUAAUAUUAAUAAUGAGAAAACCCGCGACGGCACGCACACUCGCGCGGGAAGCGGAGUCGGAACGAGCUCCAGCCAGCCAUAGAGGUCAAGGGUGUUUCGAAAAACAGUUAUAAACGUCGAAGUCUCUCGGCUCGCUGCGCCGCAUAUUAUAAUGAUGAUAUGUGUGCACAAAAUAAAUAACAGCAUAACAUAAUACACACACACACACACACACACACACAACGUCUCGCAGUAAAUGACACACACCAGCGUAGUGCGUACACGAUUAUGGGGUAAAUGAAAAAAAAAAAAAAA